rnacentral:rRNA from 1 species
AAAUGGCCGCAGUAUUUUAACUGUGCAAAGGUGGCAUAAUCAUUAGUCUUUUAAUUGAAGGCUUGUAUGAAUGGUUGGACGAAAUAUUAACUGUUUCAUAAGAAUUGAAUUAGAAUUUUAUUUUUUAGUUAAAAAGCUAAAAUGAUUUUAAAAGACGAGAAGACCCUAUAGAUCUUUAUAAUUUAUGUUUUAUAUCUGUGUAGAUUAGUUGGGUUAUGAAUAUAUAAAUUAUUUUGUUGGGGUGACAUUAAAAUUUAGUUAACUUUUAAUUAAUUAAUACAUUAAUUUAUGAGUAUUUGAUCCAUUAAUAAUGAUUAAAAAAUUAAGUUACCUUAGGGAUAACAGCGUAAUUUUUUUGGAGAGUUCAUAUCGAUAAAAAAGAUUGCGACCUCGAUGUUGGAUUAAGAUAUAAUUUUGGGUGCAGCAAUUCAAUUAUUAAGUC